rnacentral:rRNA from 1 species
GACGAACGCUGGCGGCGUGCUUAACACAUGCAAGUCGAACGAAGUGGCGAACGGGUGAGUAAUCCGUGAGUAACCUGCCCUCCUUUUUGGGAUAAGCCUUGGAAACGGGGUCUAAUACCGAAUAAAGGGGGAUGGGCUCGCGGCCUCGCAGCUUGUUGGUGGGCUGAUGGCCUACCAAGGCGGUGACGGGUAGCCGGCCUGGGAGGGUGACCGGACACAUUGGGAAUGAGAUAAGGCCCAGAUGCCUACGGGAGGCAGGAGUGGGGGAUAUUGCACAAGGGGCGAGAGUGUGAUGCAGCGACGCUGCGUGGGGGAUGAAGGCUUUCGGGUUGUAAACCUCUUUCGAUAUCGAACGGGUAGGUAGAGAAGAAGCGCCGGCUAACUACGUGCCAGCAGCCGCGGUAAUUC